AUCGCUUCUCGGCCUUUUGGCUAAGAUCAAGUGUAGUAUCUGUUCUUAUCAGUUUCAAAUUCAAAUGCAUCUGGAAGGCAACAAAGGGGAGAGGCUCCUCAAAGGUAACCUCG
rnacentral:snRNA from 1 species